ACGAACGCUGGCGGCGUGCUUAACACAUGCAAGUCGAACGGAAAGGCCUGCUUUCCCUUGUGGAUUGCGGGUACUCGAGUGGCGAACGGGUGAGUAACACGUGAGUGAUCUGCCCCCAACUUGGGUAUAAGCCUGGGAAACUGGGUCUAAUUCCCGAUAGGACUGCAGGGUGGUGCCUGUGGUGGAAAACGAUUUUCUAGUGGUUGGGGAUGAGCUCGCGGCCUAUCAGCUUGUUGGUGGGGUAAUGGCCUACCAAGGCGGCGACGGGUAGCCGGCCUGAGAGGGUGGACGGCCACAUUGGGACUGGGAUCCGGCCCAGACUCCUACGGGAGGCAGCAGUGGGGAAUAUUGCACAAUGGGCGGAAGCCUGAUGCAGCGACGCCGCGUGGGGGAUGACGGCCUUCGGGUUGUAAACUCCUUUCGACCGCGAGGAAGCCACCUGGUUGGAAGGGUGGUGACGGUAGUGGUAGAAGAAGCACCGGCUAACUACGUG
rnacentral:rRNA from 1 species